AUUUGGAGUAUGCUGAUUCUGAAAAUGUGAAUGUGAUGCAUACUUUUCAAGUUAUGAAUAAUGUGGAAAAACUGUAUUUCUCUGGCUGUGAUAAUUGAAUUACCCAUUGUGUAAGGUAAUUGUAUCACAGGCAGAGGGGAGGAUUUUGUGUGGGAGUGUCUGAGUGUAUUGUACAUGUUUAUUGGUUGUUUUACAAAACCCUGUGGGUGGUACUAAUGUGUAAG
rnacentral:lncRNA from 1 species